rnacentral:rRNA from 1 species
AUUGAACGCUGGCGGCAGGCCUAACACAUGCAAGUCGAACGAGUGGCGGACGGGUGAGUAAUGUCUGGGAAACUGCCUGAUGGAGGGGGAUAACUACUGGAAACUGUCUCUAAUACCGCAUACUCUCAUAUGCGCCCAUAUGGGAUUAGCUAGUUGGUGGGGUAUCGGCUCACCAAGGCGACGAUCCCUAGCGGGUCUGAGAGGAUGACCAGCCACACUGGAACUGAGACACGGUCCAGACUCCUACGGGAGGCAGCAGUGGGGAAUAUUGCACAAUGGGCGCAAGUCUGAUGCAGCCAUGCCGCGUGUAUGAAGAAGGCCUUCGGGUUGUAAAGUACUUUCAGCGGGGAGGCGUUACCCGCAGAAGAAGCACCGGCUAACUCCGUGCCAGCAGCCGCGGUAAUAC